rnacentral:lncRNA from 1 species
AACUGUAACCGCCACCGAUUUGUUCGCUGACAUCGCGCCAACCCUCCUCACGCUGGGAUAUAUGAACAGACUGCGCCCUGGCCGUAGAUCAUCCGAUCGCUUGAAGACCAGCUACCACCGGGAGAGAAGAAGCAGAGAGAGGUAGGAGGAGAGAGGGGGUCGCCGAUCUGAUCCUCUCGCUGCUGGGAAUUUGGGAGUGUCGGGGAGGAGCUGCCGGAGCAUCGCGGAGGCGUCCGCGUGGUGCUCUGAUGUGGAAUGUGAACCUGGGGGCUCUGGUUGUGCUCGUCAUGCGUGAAGAAAAGCGACCGCUGCCGUGGAGUCACACCUCUCCGCGGCUAGAAGAUUACACGCAUCAAGUCUCGGUAAGAUGUCUCUUAUUGAGCUUGCCGUGAUCCCCCAUCGUGUAGUAUCUCUAGUUUCGAAGUUUGGACCGGCGGGUUGCCAGAGCACGCACUUCAGCCAUGGCGCCACCAAGUUAGGCGGCGCCGCCGCGGCGUGCUGUUGGGGAAGAAGGUAACGCCCUUGCCGUUUGAAUCGCGAUGGGCGGUGUAGAUUAACCGAUGCUGUUCACGUUGGGGCGUGUGUGCCGUCCGAUCUGGCUGACGGUUAGGAUUUGUUAUGUGCGCCGAUGUAAUCUGGGCCACCAGAUGGCGAUCGGACGUCUGAAAACACAGGAUACCCGUUCACGCGGCAUAAUAUCUAAAGAGACCCUAGGUUAAUAACAAUUCAACCCGCAGUCCACCUGGUGGGUCAUCUGUGUCUUAGGAUUAAUUGCAUCAGGGCCCCUGACUUCUCUGGAAAUUGAGGCUCAGUCCAGGGUAGAUUAAAAAUAGAGAAAUAAUAUUAGAAUUUCGUUUUUAAUACAAAAACAAUUCUAGAAACUUGUAAAAUGCAUAUAAAAUUCAUUUUAGCUCCAAAUUGAACCGUUCCAAUUUCUAAAAUUUUGUAAUAAUAUUCUAUAUCAUUUAGUGUCUCUGUUUUGUCAUGAAAACAGUAAGAAAAUUAAUUUAUCAUUUAAUCUUAUUUCAAGCACAUUAAACCUUAGGAAAUUCAUAACUUGAAAGCUAUAACUCCAAAUUUAAUGAUUCCAGUUCCUACGAUUUUAGUGUAAUAUGUAGAUUUUUAUUGCGUAUUUUAUUCACAUGUUUGGUGCAAUGUUAAUUUUUGCUAUACCCUGUAUGUAUUGUGUUGAUGCGAGUAGACGAGCAAGCCACUGUGGAUUCUGAGGUUUAACAAGUAGAAGUAGCUGAGCAGGAGCUCAUUGAAGGCAAGUUGUGCCCUUGAUCACUUACUUUUCCCAGCCAUGUUCUUAUUAAUUUUAAUGAUCUGCAUAGGUUAAUUUUGAUGGGAUCCUUUAUGUUACCCCAGUUUUGAUUACCUCUAUACCUUGAUCACCCCUGAAAUAUUUUUGGAUAGUACUUGCUAUUGCUUUAUGUGGAUUGGGUAUGGAGAUACACUACUCAUGAUUAUCCUGUUAUUAUCUUGUUAUUAUACUGUUCAUGUUAAGAUCAUUAAAUUAAUGGGAACAUGGAGCGACCACCCGGAAAAACAGUGCUACCACAAGGGUUUAAUGGGACGCCCUUGGCUGAUUAACUAGGAAAGCUAGUAGAGGUCUUCCUUACCCGAAAGGGGCAAGGGCAGUAGGGGAGUGGUCAGUGUAGGGAGGUCCUUGUGUUGAUUUUGCUGCGAUGGCGGUCAGGCAAGAACCCUGCACUGGAGCUUCCUAUAAACUGUAGCGGGAUUUCUGAAGCUAGUGGAACUUUGUAAAGGCCUCGUAGUGUUACCCUGCCUCGCCUCCUCGGUAGAGGUGUAUGGGAUUGGCCGUCUCUUGGCAGAUGGGUAACAUGACUUGUGGGUAAAGAUGCGCAACCUCUGCAGAGUGUAAAACUAGUAUACUAGCCGUGCUCACGGUCAUGAGCGGCUCGGACCCUCACAUGAUUAAAUAUGGAACUUAAAUUUAAUUUGACAUUUGCAUCGCAUUUGGGAUUAUUUUACUAUUACUGUUCUUUAUUAUUAUUAAGGUUUGGUAUUUACUUACACUUAGUAAUUGCUAAUAAAAUUUUGACCAACUUAUAAAAGCAAUGCUCAGCUUCAGCCUCUAUUUCAUUGAUCAGCCUUACACUCCAUGAACUCCCACCCUUUGGUGAGUUCAUGCCACAUUAUUCCCCAUGACUUGUUGAGCUAUGAACGUAUGUGAGCUCACUCUUGCUGUCUCACAUCCCCCACAGGAGAAGAGCAGGUGGUCGAAGAGGAGCCGCCUAACACUGAGGCAUUCGACUUGAUCUAGGUGGCGUUUCUCAGUUGACAUUGGCGCCAUCGAUCCUUAGUUCGUUUUACCUUUAUUCUUUUACUUUGUAAUAAGUCUUCCGCUAUGUAAUAAAUACUCUGAUGAUUUAUGACAUUUAUCUCUAUACACUCUGUUAUUAUA